rnacentral:rRNA from 1 species
GACAGAGGGUGCAAACGUUGUUCGGAAUUACUGGGCGUAAAGCGCGUGUAGGCGGUCUCGCAAGUCGGGUGUGAAAACUCUGGGCUCAACUCAGAGACGCCACCCGAUACUGGCGUGACUCGAGUCCGGUAGGGGAGCAUGGAAUUCCUGGUGUAGCGGUGAAAUGCGCAGAUAUUCGGAGGAACACCAGUGGCGAAGGCGGCUCACUGGUCCAUUACUGACGCUGAGGUGCGAAAGCGUGGGGAGCAACAGG